CUACGGGGCGCUGCAGUGAGGAAUAUUGGUCAAUGGGCGCGAGCCUGAACCAGCCAUCCCGCGUGCAGGAUGACGGCCCUAUGGGUUGUAAACUGCUUUUCUAUGCCAAGAAACCUGAUUACGUGUAAUCAGUUGCCGGUAGCAUAGGAAUAAGCAUCGGCUAACUCCGUGCCAGCAGCCGCGGUAAUACGGAGGAUGCAGCGUUUAUCCGGAUUCAUUGGGUUUAAAGGGUGCGCAGGUGGGCUUGUAAGUCAGUGGUGAAAUGCUGCCGCUUAACGGUAGAACUGCCAUUGAUACUGCGAGUCUUGAGUAUGGUUGAGGUAGGCGGAAUGUGUUGUGUAGCGGUGAAAUGCAUAGAUAUGACACAGAACGCCAAUUGCGAAGGCAGCUUACUAAGCCAUUACUGACGCUGAGGCACGAAAGCGUGGGGAGCGAACAGGAUUAGAUACCCUGGUAGUC
rnacentral:rRNA from 1 species